CCAUACCUGCACACAGCUACCAUCUGGGUCUUGGGGAAAUCAUUAUAAUGAAGAUGUAUCUCUAAUUCACUUGGUUUCAGUUGAGAGAAGGCAACAAGGCAAAACUGUACAGGUCACUGUAACAGUCAGUCUCUUCAAGGCCCACUGGAAAGGCUGUGUACCUUAGCAGGCUCUGCCAUACACCUUUUCACAAGCCUUUGCUUCACUGCCAGGUGCACUCCAGUUCUCCUAAGCAGGGGUCCUUACCUCAAACUGUAAAGCUACAGAGGCUGUCACUUUUCAAGUAUGACACUACCACAGAAAGCACAGAGCUUAACAAGUGUUCUGAACUACAAGAAACAUGGAUGAUAUCAGGAAGGGCUCAGUUCCCACUCCCAGCCUGCAGGUACCAGUGUUCAUCUCACCCCACAGGAAGCCACAGGAAAAGAACUUACUACUUUUUGGUGUGAUUUGUUAUCUGUGGACAUGGCAAGCAGCAACAGCUUGCAGAGGCGAGACAGAACAGA